AGAGUUUGAUCAUGGCUCAGGAUGAACGCUAGCUACAGGCUUAACACAUGCAAGUCGAGGGGAAACGAUAUUGGAAGCUUGCUUCCGAUAGGCGUCGACCGGCGCACGGGUGAGUAACGCGUAUCCAACCUGCCCACCACUUGGGGAUAACCUUGCGAAAGUAAGACUAAUACCCAAUGAUAUCUCUAGAAGACAUCUGAAAGAGAUUAAAGAUUUAUCGGUGAUGGAUGGGGAUGCGUCUGAUUAGCUUGGUUGGCGGGGUAACGGCCACCAAGGCGACGAUCAGGUAGGGGUUCUGAGAGGAACGGUCCCCCANAUUGGAACUGAGACACGGUCCAAACUCCGUACGGGAGGCA
rnacentral:rRNA from 1 species